AAAGGAGCCACAGUCGGGUCUGGGCGAGCAAUGGAAGUCAGUAUGGAGAAUGGCAACAAGAGGCAAACUCCCUGACUGUGGCCAGGAAGCACCGUUAGCCUGGAGUUAAUCUUAAACCUCUUCCCAGUCCCUCACCUGAGCUUCUUCCCACAGCAGAAAGGACAUUUGAGCGACCCGCCUGGAAAACUGACAGGGCCUUCUUGGGAAGAAUGAAAAUUUGGAAUGGAGCAGAAAGAGCAGGGACUCUUGACUGGACACUCGUGUUUCUGCCUGGCUACUUAACACUCCAUCAUUGCAUUCAUUGUCAUCCUGAUGUUCUCACAGACACACAAACUCACAUAAGGACAUAGAGAGUCACAGAGGUUGUCAUUUGCCCAAAGCUGCACACCUAGAAAAUGGUAGUCAAGAUCUGAUCCCCAGCAUUAAGUGCCAAACCCAGGCUCCUGUUCUCACUGUAAGAGCUACUGAGACUCAAGAAAACUUGGCUCUGGGGGAAGCUUGUACCAAUUCAAUGCUCUCUUCACUUGACUCCAGUACCUCACCCUUGCAAGUGAAAGGCACUCAGCAGAGCGUCCGAGUGGGAGGCUUGUAAGUG